AGAGUUUGAUCCUGGCUCAGGGUGAACGCUGGCGGCGCGCCUAACACAUGCAAGUCGAACGGCACCUAUCUUCGGAUAGAAGCGAGUGGCGAACGGCUGAGUAACACGUGGAGAACCUGCCCCCUCCCCCGGGAUAGCCGCCCGAAAGGACGGGUAAUACCGGAUACCCCCGGGCGCCGCAUGGCGCCCGGGCUAAAGCCCCGACGGGAGGGGAUGGCUCCGCGGCCCAUCAGGUAGACGGCGGGGUGACGGCCCACCGUGCCGACAACGGGUAGCCGGGUUGAGAGACCGACCGGCCAGAUUGGGACUGAGACACGGCCCAGACUCCUACGGGAGGCAGCAGUGGGGAAUCUUGCGCAAUGGGGGGAACCCUGACGCAGCGACGCCGCGUGCGGGACGGAGGCCUUCGGGUCGUAAACCGCUUUCAGCAGGGAAGAGUCAAGACUGUACCUGCAGAAGAAGCCCCGGCUAACUACGUGCCAGCAGCCGCGGUAAUACGUAGGGGGCGAGCGUUAUCCGGAUUCAUUGGGCGUAAAGCGCGCGUAGGCGGCCCGGCAGGCCGGGGGUCGAAGCGGGGGGCUCAACCCCCCGAAGCCCCCGGAACCUCCGCGGCUUGGGUCCGGUAGGGGAGGGUGGAACACCCGGUGUAGCGGUGGAAUGCGCAGAUAUCGGGUGGAACACCGGUGGCGAAGGCGGCCCUCUGGGCCGAGACCGACGCUGAGGCGCGAAAGCUGGGGGAGCGAACAGGAUUAGAUACCCUGGUAGUCCCAGCCGUAAACGAUGGACGCUAGGUGUGGGGGGACGAUCCCCCCGUGCCGCAGCCAACGCAUUAAGCGUCCCGCCUGGGGAGUACGGCCGCAAGGCUAAAACUCAAAGGAAUUGACGGGGGCCCGCACAAGCAGCGGAGCAUGUGGCUUAAUUCGAAGCAACGCGAAGAACCUUACCAGGGCUUGACAUAUUGGGUGAAGCGGGGGGAGACCCCGUGGCCGAAGAGAAGCCCCUACAAGGGGGUGCAUGGGUUGUCGUCAACCUCCGGUCGUGGAGAGUUUGGGUUAAUUCCCCCACCAAAGGGAACCCCCCCCCGCGUGUUGCCAUUCGGUGGAAGCCGGGGAACACACCCCGGAAACGCCCCCCUCCAAGCCGAAGAGGGGGGGGGGAGAAAAACAAUGUAUCAUAUGCCCUUUAUUCCUGGGGUGGCACCGUUGCUUAAUAUGCCGGGUACAAAAGGAAGGCACCCCCCCAAGGGAGAGGGAAUUCCGGAAAACCGGCCCCACUUCCGAAUUUGGGGGUGAACCCGGCCCCCAUGAAGUCGGAGUUGCUAGUAAUCGCGGAUCAGCAUGCCGCGGUGAAUGCGUUCCCGGGCCUUGCACACACCGCCCGUC
rnacentral:rRNA from 1 species